rnacentral:rRNA from 1 species
AGUGAACGCUGGCGGUAGGCCUAACACAUGCAAGUCGAACGGCAGCACAGUAAGAGCUUGCUCUUACGGGUGGCGAGUGGCGGACGGGUGAGGAAUACAUCGGAAUCUACUUUUUCGUGGGGGAUAACGUAGGGAAACUUACGCUAAUACCGCAUACGACCUACGGGUGAAAGCAGGGGAUCUUCGGACCUUGCGCGAUUGAAUGAGCCGAUGUCGGAUUAGCUAGUUGGCGGGGUAAAGGCCCACCAAGGCGACGAUCCGUAGCUGGUCUGAGGGGAUGAUCAGCCACACUGGAACUGAGACACGGUCCAGACUCCUACGGGAGGCAGCAGUGGGGAAUAUUGGAGAAUGGGCGCAAGCCUGAUCCAGCCAUACCGCGUGGGUGAAGAAGGCCUUCGGGUUGUAAAGCCCUUUUGUUGGGAAAGAAAAGCAGCAGGUUAAUACCCCGCUGUUCUGACGGUACCCAAAGAAUAAGCACCGGCUAACUUCGUG